rnacentral:misc_RNA from 1 species
GAUGAAGAACGUAGCGAAAUGCGAUAAGUAACGUGAAUUGCAGAAUUCAGUGAAUCAUCGAAUCUUUGAACGCACAUUGCGCCCCUUGGUAUUCCGAGGGGCAUGCCUGUUCGAGCGUCAUUAUAACCCCUCAAGCUCAGCUUGAUGUUGGGGCCUGCCGCACGGGCAGCCCUUAAAAUCAGUGGCGGUGCCAUCUGGCUCUAAGCGUAGUAAUUCUUCUCGCUAUAGAGUCCCGGUGGAUGCUUGCCAUUAACCCCCAAUUUUCUAUGGUUGACCUCGGAUCAGGUAGGGAUACCCGCUGAACUUAAGCAUAUCAAUAAGCGGAGGA